UAGAGUUUGAUUAUGGCUCAGAUUGAACGCUGGCGGCAUGCCUUACACAUGCAAGUCGAACGGUAACAGGUCUUCGGAUGCUGACGAGUGGCGAACGGGUGAGUAAUACAUCGGAACGUGCCCGAGAGUGGGGGAUAACGAAGCGAAAGCUUUGCUAAUACCGCAUACGAUCUCAGGAUGAAAGCAGGGGACCGCAAGGCCUUGCGCUCACGGAGCGGCCGAUGGCAGAUUAGGUAGUUGGUGGGAUAAAAGCUUACCAAGCCGACGAUCUGUAGCUGGUCUGAGAGGACGACCAGCCACACUGGGACUGAGACACGGCCCAGACUCCUACGGGAGGCAGCAGUGGGGAAUUUUGGACAAUGGGCGCAAGCCUGAUCCAGCCAUGCCGCGUGCAGGAUGAAGGCCUUCGGGUUGUAAACUGCUUUUGUACGGAACGAAAAGACUCUGGUUAAUACCUGGGGUCCAUGACGGUACCGUAAGAAUAAGCACCGGCUAACUACGUGCCAGCAGCCGCGGUAAUAC
rnacentral:rRNA from 1 species